rnacentral:rRNA from 1 species
AUGCAAGUCGAACGGUAACAGGCCUUCGGAUGCUGACGAGUGGCGAACGGGUGAGUAAUACAUCGGAACGUGCCCGAUCGUGGGGGAUAACGCAGCGAAAGCUGUGCUAAUACCGCAUACGAUCUACGGAUGAAAGCGGGGGAUCGCAAGACCUCGCGCGGACGGAGCGGCCGAUGGCAGAUUAGGUAGUUGGUGGGAUAAAAGCUUACCAAGCCGACGAUCUGUAGCUGGUCUGAGAGGACGACCAGCCACACUGGGACUGAGACACGGCCCAGACUCCUACGGGAGGCAGCAGUGGGGAAUUUUGGACAAUGGGGGAAACCCUGAUCCAGCCAUGCCGCGUGCAGGAUGAAGGCCUUCGGGUUGUAAACUGCUUUUGUACGGAACGAAAAGGUCCUUUCUAAUAAAGAGGGCUCAUGACGGUACCGUAAGAAUAAGCACCGGCUAACUACGUGCCAGCAGCCGCGGUAAUACGGGGGGUGCAAGCGUUGUUCGGAAUUAUUGGGCGUAAAGCGCGUGUAGGCGGUUUGAUUAGUCUGAUGUGAAAGCCCUGGGCUCAACCCAGGAAGUGCAUUGGAAACUGUCAGACUUGAAUACGGGAGAGGGUAGUGGAAUUCCUAGUGUAGGAGUGAAAUCCGUAGAUAUUAGGAGGAACACCGGUGGCGAAGGCGGCUACCUGGACCGAUAUUGACGCUGAGACGCGAAAGCGUGG